UACGUAGGGUGCAGGCGUUAAUCGGAAUUACUGGGCGUAAAGCGUGCGCAGGCGGUUUGCUAAGACAGGUGUGAAAUCCCCAGGCUUAACCUGGGAACUGCAUUCGAGACUGCAUUGCUAGAGUAUGGGAGAGGGAAGUGGAAUUUCCGGUGUAGCGGUGAAAUGCGUAGAUAUCGGAAGGAACAUCAGUGGCGAAAGCGACUUCCUGGACCAAUACUGACGCUCAUGUGCGAAAGCGUGGGGAGCAAACAGG
rnacentral:rRNA from 1 species